rnacentral:lncRNA from 1 species
CCCUGGAAAUGAUAUGGGGUUGCCGGGAAAACUCCAUCCACCGCUCUCUGUCCCCUCUGAGAACUCGCAGGGCCUCUCUGUUCUGACUCUGAGUCCUAAAGCAUCCCACAACCAACAGGGAGGUACCUUCCGAGGGGUGCCUGGAAGUUCCCAUGCUCCACUGGGGCAGAACUUGAGGUCCCAGAUGCAGCCAUGGUCACAAGCAAUCCCAUAGACAAAGUGGGCCCUGUUGCCAGGACUGAGGAGAGAAAGCAUAUGGGGAGAAUGGGUAGGGAGAAGGGGCCUAGGGCUGCCAGAGCCUGUGCUCUGCCCCAUCUCAACCCAAUCCAAGCGCCCCAGCGCCCCUGCCCAGCCCCAUCCUUCUCUCCUCCUCAACCACCCUCCCACAGCAGCGUUCCAGCCCCACCUCACCAGCUUUCUUGCUGCAAGGUCCCGAGGCCCCAGAGUUGGAGCAGCCCGGGACCCGAAUGAAGCUGGCUCAGUGCAUGUGUCUCAUUCAUGUCAGGGCUGGAGAAAAGGGCCACAUACUGCGAAGCUGAUGCCCCCUCUGGCACUGGGCACCAAUCCAGAGCCCAGAGGGGUCCCCCUGUGAAGAAGGACACAUCCCAGCGCUCUGGGUGUGCUGUGAUCGAGCUAAAUCUAGAGAAAAGUCAAAGAUGGGAUGAAGAAAGGAAUUAAUAAAAGGUAAUAAGGACUUCAUAAGGUGAGUGGAUAAGCAUCCAAACAAUGGAAUAUUAUAUGGCACUAAAAAUAAAUGAGCUAUCAAACAAUGAAAAGGCACGGAGGAACCUUAAAUGCAUGUUUAAGUGAAAGAAACCCACCUGAAAAAGGCUACACGCUGUAUGAACCCAACUAUGUAGCAUUUUGGAAAAGGCAAAACUAUACAGUCAAAAGAUCAGUGAUAGCCAGGGAUUAGAGGGGAGGAUGAGUAGCUAGAACACAUAGGAUUUUUAGGGCAGCAAAACUACUCUGUAUGAUCCCAUCAUGACAGAGAUAUGUCAUUAUACAUUUGUCCAAACCCAAAGAAUGUACAACACCAAGAGUGAAUCCUGACGUACACUAUGGACUUUGAGUGAUGAUGUGUCAAUGUAGGCUCAUUCAUCGUAACAAAUGUACCCUCUGGUGGGGGAUGUUGAUAAUGGGGCAGCUGUAUAUGUAUGGGGGCAGGGGAGUAUAUGGGAGAUCUCUGCACCUUCCUCUCAAUUUUGAACCUAAAACUGCUCCAAAAAAUUAAGCCUUUAAAAAAAAAAAAAAAAAAAGUAAUGAGGACAGAAUGGGAGCUCCACCUGGAGCUGGUAUGAACUAGCUUAAGCAAGGGCCAGAAUAUCAAGAACAUUCUACAGGUGACAAUAGUCCUUAGCCACCAUCUGUAUCUUCCUCCUUUCCUUCCAAAGCCUGUCUAGCUCUAGUUCACCUUCAAAGAUGACAGGCUGUGAAUUCUGGUUUACCACAGGGCUCUCCAGGGCGAGUGUGCCCAGGUCUAUCUGAGUAGAUGUGACCUUGUAAACGGGUUUGACCUUCCAUCUCCGUAGCUGCCCUCAGUCUGGCCAGCAGUGAUAAGCACUGCAAACUACCUGGGUUGACCAGGUCUAGCAAGGCUGCCCACCCUGGGACCAACUGGAAUAGCAUCAGGGGAAGAAGAGGGCCAAUAUGUCAUCCCUUUCAACAUUCAUUUGUCCUGUUUCUCCUAGAACCAGAAAGAGAUGCAAUCUUCACCUGUUUAUUCGGUAGAGUGUGCCAUCUUCAGGAAGUCCUUCACGCUGUACAGAGAACAGUGGAGACUUCUCCUGCUGGGGCAG